rnacentral:lncRNA from 1 species
UUGCUACUGGAACCUGAGGAGGAGCCUGAGUCAUCGGCUUGAGUCUUUUGUUCUGUUGAAUGGGUGCAGUAGGUGCUGGUCUGCGGUGUGGAGCCGAGGGCCUGAGGUUCCCUACUGCUGGAGGGAAGGUGCGAAGGUUCUUCUCCACCAACUGCGCCUUAGCCAGGACAACAAAAUAAGUGUUGAGCUCGAGUUGUUGGGCAGCGAUGAGUCUAUUCAACAUCUCAAAUAACUGGUCAACAUCCUCUAGUAGCGAACCCUCCCAGGCUACUCAGUUUAGUGAGGGCCUUCCUCUCCUCAUCUAUUUGUACCUGCAUUUUAUGAGGAACAAUUGAGUGAUAAUUCA